rnacentral:ncRNA from 1 species
UAUCUGGUUGAUCCUGCCAGUAGUCAUAUGCUGUCUCAAAGAUUAAGCCAUGCAUGUCUAAGUAUAAGCAAUUUAUACAGUGAAACUGCGAAUGGCUCAUUAAAUCAGUUAUCGUUUAUUUGAUAGUUUCUUUACUACAUGGAAUACCUGUGGUAAUUCUAGAGCUAAUACAUGCUUAAAAUCCCAACUUACGAAGGGAUGUAUUUAUUAGAUAAAAAAUCAAUGUCUUCGGACUUCUGAUGAUUCAUAAUAACUUUUCGAAUCGCAUGGCUUUAUGCUGGCGAUGGUUCAUUCAAAUUUCUGCCCUAUCAACUUUUGAUGGUAGGAUAGUGGCCUACCAUGGUUUCAACGGGUAACGGGGAAUAAGGGUUCGAUUCCGGAGAGGGAGCCUGAGAAACGGCUACCACAUCCAAGGAAGGCAGCAGGCGCGCAAAUUACCCAAUCCUAAUUCAGGGAGGUAGUGACAAUAAAUAACGAUACAGGGCUUUAUGUCUUGUAAUUGGAAUGAGUACAAUUUAAAUACCUUAACGAGGAACAAUUGGAGGGCAAGUCUGGUGCCAGCAGCCGCGGUAAUUCCAGCUCCAAUAGCGUAUAUUAAAGUUGUUGCAGUUAAAAAGCUCGUAGUUGAACUUUGGGCUUGGAGAAUCGGUCCAACUUUGUUGUGUACUGUCUUCUCCAGGUCUUUCCUUCUGGUUCUCAUUUGGGGUUUACUCCAUUUGUUGAUCCAGGAUUUUUACUUUGAAAAAAUUAGAGUGUUCAAAGCAGGCGUUUUGCUCGAAUAUAUUAGCAUGGAAUAAUAGAAUAGGACGAUUGGUUCUAUUUUGUUGGUUUCUAGGACCAUCGUAAUGAUUAAUAGGGACGGUCGGGGGCAUCAGUAUUCAGUUGUCAGAGGUGAAAUUCUUGGAUUUACUGAAGACUAACUACUGCGAAAGCAUUUGUCAAGGACGUUUUCAUUAAUCAAGAACGAAAGUUAGGGGAUCGAAGAUGAUCAGAUACCGUCGUAGUCUUAACCAUAAACUAUGCCGACUAGGGAUCGGGCGGUGCCUUUUAUGGCCCACUCGGCACCUUACGAGAAAUCAAAGUUUUUGGGUUCUGGGGGGAGUAUGGUCGCAAGGCUGAAACUUAAAGGAAUUGACGGAAGGGCACCACCAGGAGUGGAGCCUGCGGCUUAAUUUGACUCAACACGGGGAAACUCACCAGGUCCAGACACAAUAAGGAUUGACAGAUUGAGAGCUCUUUCUUGAUUUUGUGGGUGGUGGUGCAUGGCCGUUCUUAGUUGGUGGAGUGAUUUGUCUGCUUAAUUGCGAUAACGAACGAGACCUUA